GUCUUUAGAGGCGUAUGAAUACCCCCAUCCGCGAGACUGAGCAAGCAAGUCUGAUUUCAAGUCCUUCGCCAACACCCGUGAAUUGUCAUGAUCCAGCAAGUCUGUCCAAUGUAUCAACAAUUCCAAACCUCAUGUUUCGUUAUAGCGAGUUGCUAAGACAAAGUGAGUUUGUACCAAAAUCUCUACGACAUCCUCACUUACUGGAGGUAAUGUUGAAACUUGAUGAUGAGGCCCAAAACUUUCCAUCACUAGUACUUCGGGAGUUAAAAAAAAAAAAUUCAAUUUAUCAAGUUAAUUUUACUUCAGUGAUGGAUAUAGAAAAAUAGAUGAAUGUAGAUCCUCCGGUUCAUGAGGUUUGGCAAUAAGAUAUGGAUUCAAAGGAGCUAAAUAGAAUACUAGCUAUGCGUGUACUACAAUAUCAUCACAAAAAUUGUUAUUAAAUUCUUAAAAAAAACAGAUUGGUCCAUCU
rnacentral:lncRNA from 1 species